rnacentral:Y_RNA from 1 species
GGUUGGGCCCCGCAGUGGUGUUUACAACUAACUAAUCACAACUAGUUAGGAUUUCUUUGUUCCUUUUCCACUCCCACUGCUUCACUUGACUAGCCUUAA